rnacentral:lncRNA from 1 species
CCCCGGUACCUCGUUAGGCGAGCCUGCUCUCGCCCUGGUUCUCGGGUGCUAGGAGACCGCUGCCGGCGUCGGGUUGUGCGGGACGCUAACUGUAUCCUCUGGAUUUAACUCUGUGAGCCCACGCGCGGAGGAGCUGCGGAUAAGCGCCCCGGAAGCGCCCUGGAGCCCCCAAACAGAGCGCGGCCGCUGGGGGAUUGCGCGCGGCGCCGGGUCCGGGCGGGGCCAACUUUUCUGUCGGAGGACGCGAACCGGCACGCUGCGCCUUUAAGGGGUCCAGCUGGGCUGGGCGCCCGAGCUGGGAACGGCGCGGGUAGCAGCGCGGCUGCAGGUCCGAGUCCGGGGCUAGGGACCGAGUGCCGGGGUCCAGGCCCGGCGGCGGGACCCAGGCGGCUGAGGCCGGUCAGAAUCUCAUUUUCAGCUUCUGCCAGAGCCAGGAGCAGCUGGGAAAGAAGGCUGUGCUCUUUGAAGAGUGAGUAUGGAUUUUAACCACCAUAGAUUUACCCCAAAAGGCAGCCUUUAAUGAGACUGGGACUGCUGUUGGGAGCCCCGCUUCCGAGCCCUCUGCAGGCCAAACUGUGCUGCAUGAUUUCUCUGAUCAGUAGGUCUGGUGGGAAGGGAUUCGGCACCUGGUGGUUUUCAAAGCUCUGGUGCACACCCUAAAAACUCCCUACAAAUAGUUCUGAAAGACUCUGCGGGGGAACCCGGCUCUGAAUUUGAAGGGAGUCUGGAAGGCAUGGGCUCUUGGGCCCCAAUGCUUUCCUGGAAAGGGGACACUUGAACCGGCCCUGAGGGCAGAGAAGAGUUCAUCAGGCGCCCAGACAUGGGAGUGCUCCACACCAAGGGGUCAGCAGGAAGGAAGACAGAAUGAAGCUGUGUGGGGCUUGCAUGGGGGCUGGGAGCUGGUUAUUUGGAGUGCAGGCAAAGACAUGGGUGUCAGGACUGGGAAGUUGAGCUGGGACCACAUGGGGCGGUCAGAGUUCACAUUUUAUUUGGUGGAUAUGAGACCAGCAUAGCCUGAUCCGUGGUGUGAACUGAGAAGAUUCCUGUGGCAGCUGAUGGUGGUGGGACUGUGGGGCAUGAAAGAAUAGCCUUUACGGAAACAGGAGGGAGAGGAAGGGAGGACCUGGACCCAGUGUGGUGACUGAGGGGAGCUGCGGUCCGACUCAUACAAAGUCCUACACCUGGUGACAAUUUUUCUUUUUAUCUUACAUUCCUAGUAAAUGUUGAACCCAACUGGGAUUGGGUUUUUAGGGAUUAGUUUUUAGGGAUGUAAGUCCCCUAAGGCUGUGCUGUCUAAUAUGGUAGUUCUUAUCCACAUGUAGCUGUUGAGCACUUGAAGUGUGGCUAGUGUGGCUGAAGAACUGAAGUCUGAAUUUUCUUUGGCUUUAAUCGAUUUAAGUUUAAAUUGCCAUAUAUCGGACAGUGCAGUUUGUUUAGACUUGGACAAGUUGACUCCAGUGCUGGUGCCUCUUCACCUUUGCCUAAC